UCGAGAAUCUUCCGCAAUGGGCGCAAGCCUGACGGAGCGACGCCGCGUGUGGGAUGAAGGCCUUCGGGUUGGAAACCACUGUCGUAGAGGAGGAAGGACCGGUGCAGAGCCGGUUUUGACCUAUUCUAGGAGGAAGGGUGGGCUAAGUUCGUGCCAGCAGCCGCGGUAAGACGAACCACCCAAAACGUUAUUCGGAAUUACUGGGGCUUAAAAGGGGUGCGUAGGCGGCGCGGAAAAGUCAGAUGUGAAAUCCCUCGGCUUAACCGAGGAACUGCGUUUGAAACUACCGUGCUUGAGUAAGACAGAGGUAGCGGAACUUCGGGUGGAGCGGUGAAAUGCGUUGAUAUCCGAAGGAACACCGGUGGCGAAAGCGGCUUACUGGGUCUUUACUGACGCUGAUGCACGAAAGCUAGGGGAGCAAACGGGAUUAGAUACCCCGGUAGUCCUAGCCGUAAACGAUGAGCACUUGGUUGGAGGCUCCUCCAUAGGCUUCCGGCCGUAGCGAAAGUGUUAAGUGCUCCGCCUGGGGA
rnacentral:rRNA from 1 species